CAGCAGCCACGGUAAUACGUAGGGUGCAAGCGUUAAUCGGAAUUACUGGGCGUAAAGCGUGCGCAGGCGGUUAUAUAAGACAGAUGUGAAAUCCCGGGGCUCAACCUGGGAACUGCAUUUGUGACUGUAUAGCUAGAGUACGGCAGAGGGGGAUGGAAUUCCGCGUGUAGCAGUGAAAUGCGUAGAUAUGCGGAGGAACACCGAUGGCGAAGGCAAUCCCCUGGGCCUGUACUGACGCUCAUGCACGAAAGCGUGGGGAGCAAACAGGAUUAGAUACCCCUGUAGUCCCUGUCUCUUAUCC
rnacentral:rRNA from 1 species